GCAUCGAUGGUUUAUCGAACGGUAGAAUGCUCGCCUGCCACGCGGGCGGCCCGGGUUCGAUUCCCGGCCGAUGCA